rnacentral:rRNA from 1 species
UACGUAGGGUGCAAGCGUUGUCCGGAAUUAUUGGGCGUAAAGAGCUCGUAGGCGGUUUGUCGCGUCGGCUGUGAAAACUCGGGGCUCAACUCCGAGCUUGCAGUCGAUACGGGCAGACUAGAGUUCGGCAGGGGAGACUGGAAUUCCUGGUGUAGCGGUGAAAUGCGCAGAUAUCAGGAGGAACACCGGUGGCGAAGGCGGGUCUCUGGGCCGAUACUGACGCUGAGGAGCGAAAGCGUGGGGAGCGAACAGG